AACGAACGCUGGCGGCAGGCCUAACACAUGCAAGUCGAACGCCCGUAGCAAUACGGGAGUGGCAGACGGGUGAGUAACGCGUGGGAACGUGCCCUUCGGUUCGGAAUAACUCAGGGAAACUUGAGCUAAUACCGGAUACGUCCGUAAGGAGAAAGAUUUAUCGCCGAAGGAUCGGCCCGCGUCGGAUUAGCUAGUUGGUGAGGUAACGGCCCACCAAGGCGACGAUCCGUAGCUGGUCUGAGAGGANGAUCAGCCACACUGGGACUGAGACACGGCCCAGACUCCUACGGGAGGCAGCAGUGGGGAAUCUUGGACAAUGGGCGCAAGCCUGAUCCAGCCAUGCCGCGUGGGUGAAGAAGGCCUUCGGUUG
rnacentral:rRNA from 1 species